AUUGAACGCUGGCGGCAUGCCUUACACAUGCAAGUCGAACGGCAGCACGGGUGCUUGCACCUGGUGGCGAGUGGCGAACGGGUGAGUAAUACAUCGGAACAUGUCCUGUAGUGGGGGAUAGCCCGGCGAAAGCCGGAUUAAUACCGCAUACGAUCUACGGAUGAAAGCGGGGGACCUUCGGGCCUCGCGCUAUAGGGUUGGCCGAUGGCUGAUUAGCUAGUUGGUGGGGUAAAGGCCUACCAAGGCGACGAUCAGUAGCUGGUCUGAGAGGACGACCAGCCACACUGGGACUGAGACACGGCCCAGACUCCUACGGGAGGCAGCAGUGGGGAAUUUUGGACAAUGGGCGAAAGCCUGAUCCAGCAAUGCCGCGUGUGUGAAGAAGGCCUUCGGGUUGUAAAGCACUUUUGUCCGGAAGGAAAUCCUUGGCUCUAAUACAGUCGGGGGAUGACGGUACCGGAAGAAUAAGCACCGGCUAACUACGUG
rnacentral:rRNA from 1 species